rnacentral:misc_RNA from 1 species
GAUGAAGAACGUAGCGAAAUGCGAUAAGUAGUGUGAAUUGCAGAAUUCGGUGAAUCAUCGAAUCUUUGAACGCACAUUGCGCCCCUUGGUAUUCCAUGGGGCAUGCCUGUUCGAGCGUCAUUUGUACCUUCAAGCUCUGCUUGGUGUUGGGUGUUUGUCUCGCCUCUGCGUGUAGACUCGCCUCAAAACAAUUGGCAGCCGGCGUAUUGAUUUCGGAGCGCAGUACAUCUCGCGCUUUGCACUCAUAACGACGACGUCCAAAAGUACAUUUUUACACUCUUGACCUCGGAUCAGGUAGGGAUACCCGCUGAACUUAAGCAUAUCAAUAAGCGGAGGA